rnacentral:misc_RNA from 1 species
UUUUUUCACCAUUUGAGGAGUGUGGGUGGUGACUAUGAGAUUUCUCCGUCUCCUCAUGUCCAUGAAUCAAUGGUGUAGCUUUUGCCAUUUUCUCUCCAGUAAAACAAAGCUCAUACCUGCAUGAAUGUGUCUCUAAAAACAGAACUUCUCCCUUCUUCAAACGUGCAGAAGUAUAAAGGGGCUUUUUCAGACCCUUGUCAGCUACAAUACUUAUGCUGUACUUUAUCCAUGGCUCAUUGCAAAGAUUGUACUGUAUUGUAACUUCACGCACAAAUCUCUGUUGCCGCAAUGCAUUCGAAGCUGCAGCCCUUGUAGUCAUUGUCCGCUCAACAGCCACAGGAGCAAGUGUGGGUU